UCCCUCAUAACUGAGUUGGUAAAGAAUCUGCUUGCAAUGCAGGGGACCCCAGUUGGAUUCCUGGGUCGGGGAG
rnacentral:tRNA from 1 species